ACCUGGGUGGCUCAGUUGGUUGAGCGUCUGACUUCGACUCAGGUCAUGAUCUCGUUGUUCCCAAGUG
rnacentral:tRNA from 1 species